rnacentral:rRNA from 1 species
UACAGAGGUCCCGAGCGUUGUUCGGAUUCAUUGGGCGUAAAGGGUGCGUAGGCGGCGGGGCAAGUCUGAUGUGAAAUCCUGGGGCUCAACCUCAGAACUGCAUUGGAUACUGCCUUGCUAGAGUACUGGAGAGGGAACUGGAAUUUACGGUGUAGCAGUGAAAUGCGUAGAGAUCGUAAGGAAGGCCAGUGGCGAAGGCGAGUUCCUGGACAGUUACUGACGCUGAGGCACGAAAGUGUGGGGAUCAAACAGG